CCACAUACCCACCAUCCCGGAACAGGCCUGAUCUCAUCUGGUCUUGGAAGCUAAGCAGGGUACGGCCUGGUUAGUGUUUGGAUGGGAGACACUGCUUGGGUAUACCGGGUGCUAUAUAGG
rnacentral:rRNA from 1 species